CCCUUGGAGCUUAAACUGAAUGUUACAUAGAGGGAGUUAUUCUUACGCUGUUCAGGGUCACUCUCUCCUUAGUCCAUGCAUACUUAAUGUUCUUGCUUAACUGGACUGUGGACUGUAUGCAACCUUGGCAAGGAAAAUUCACUUUCAGUUUUGUAACCACUGGGAGUCUUAGCUCCAACUCUUCAUAAAUGCAUCCAGUGGAUAAGAAAUGCUUGUUGAAGAAAGAGAGGGAGGGAAGAAGACCUGACAAGGUGCCAACGCUAAGGAGAAAUUUUGGCAUUUCAAGCUGUGGAAUGUGAUAAAAGGAAAGGAGCCAUAAGCAAGGCCAAGAGGAAGGGGACAAACAAGAGCGAAGUGUCCCAGGAGCCAAGCUUGGAAGGACUUUCAAAGGCAGGGCAGUUGAAGGCCAUGGGCAGUAUCUUAUGCCACCUUAGGAAGUUCUCAGGGAAUUUGGGACCUCCUUUCUGGGGUGACUGGGCCCUGAGCUCCAACGUACGAGGCUUCGUCUCUGUCCAGCUGGCAUACCCAGGGUGGCAAGGACAUGCCGAAGCUCAGCGCCCAUGACCGUGCCAUUGCUCUCCUUGUCGAAGACACGCAGCCCCUCCACAAAGUCCUCGUAGGUGCCCUGCUCCUUGU